GGUCGAGAGGAAACACCCCCCGCCGCAUCGACGGCGCGCGGGCAAAGCGGGCAGAGCGGGCAGAGCGGGC
rnacentral:ribozyme from 13 species